ensembl:lncRNA
GUGGGAGCCCCAACCUGCGGGCAGUGCCUGGGUCUAGAAGCAGGGUGUCGCCAGCCCCCAGAGCCUGGUGACUCUUGAGUUUUCAGCCCGUCCUCCUGCAUCAGGAGGACAAGCUGCCUCAUUUCAGAGGCCUCCCAACUUUUUCCUUGUUGAAUCCCGUCCUCCUUGUUCAAUCCCUUCAAUGGUGGGCCUUCCCCAAAGUGAGGAUAGCUAGAUGUUAGUUGCAUCUCCCAAAGCUGAGUCUCCCGUGCAGUCCUCCCCUGGCUCAUCCUCUGUCCUCGAAGCGCCUCUUUUUGCCCCCUUUGCCAUCAUUUAGCGGGGAUUGGGGACCCAGUGUUCACUCCACUGUGUGGAUCAACUGCAAGGGCAUUAUUGAUUCAUUUUUGUAAAGUCCCAAAACCCAGCACAACACUGGUACGUGGCAGGUGCCGCCUGGAUAAACGAAUGAGUGAAAGGCAAAAGGACAGGGUCCUCUGCCCUCAAAAACCUCACAGCACAGCUGGGCGGAGGAUGCAGGUUGGAGGGAGGAGGAAGUCGAUAGAUCCGUGCCUUAGCGCUCAGAGUGGGGCUGAUUGUGCAAGCGGCCGUGCAGCCCACAGGCCAUGGAAAUUCGGGGCGGCCGCCGCGAGUACGUCACCCGCCCCAGGGGGGAGGACAGAGGCGCCGUGACAAGAGGCUGGAGGGAGUGGCCACCCAAGGCCAUCCGGGCAGCCAAGCUCCAGGCACAGGCAAGGCAGCCAGGAGGUCCAACUCAAGGCUGACGAUCCGGCCCUGCCCCACGCGGGGCCCCACCGCAGCCUGGGUGCACGGAGAAGAUGGGGUGCCCCCCACAUGAGAGAUGCAAAAACUGAGGCUUGGUGAGGUUGAGAUGCUCGUCCCAGGUCACAUCACCAGGAAAUGGCAGAGCUGAGACUGGAACCCAGCCUUGCUUUGUCUCUCCUCCGCUGUAAAAUGAAAAGAUGAUAGCUGGUGGCCUCUGAGGGCCCCUCCAGCUCGGAUGUUCUGAGAUUUCACUUCUGUCCGGAAAGCGUUGCUCUGACCAGCAGAACCAACGAAGCUGUGAAAAUUAAAGGCACAAACGGUGGGGUCACCCUCUGGGGGGCUGCUCUGGGGCAGCCCCUCCCCGCGCCACUCCUCUCAUGCCCAGACAGCCGGCCGCAGCCUGUGCCCUCCAGGAGGGCCGCCCUCCACUCUAGGAACAGCGGCAGAAUCUCUGGGGCUCAGGGCACGGCAGGCGCCUUCCUCUGGUGGCCUUUGAUGUCGGCCUCCAGGGAGACCUCAUGCAAGUUAAGGCCAGAGGAGUCAGACCCCAGAGUCCUGACAUGUAACUGGAAUCUCGAUCCUCGUCACACACUGGCUCUUUCUUGGAUUAACAGCCCAUGAGCAUCCACCCUCCUGAGUGCUGUCUGGGGAAGCAGUCCUCGCUGAGCCCUCGCCAAACGCUAGCUGGGGACGUAACCAGCCCCGUGCCGCAUGCCCUGCCUGUGUCCCCGCAUAGGGACCCAGCCACACCUCCCUCCUGCCUCCUCCCCAGCCCAGACCCGGCCCCAGACUGGCCUGGGGGAGUGGGGGCUCACUCGGGCAUCUGGCCUCUCCUUGAUGUAGGGGUAUCCUUGCCUUAGUGGGUGUGACCGUGGGGCUGAUUGAUGAAUAAGCUAGUGGCUGAGAGCGGGCCCUGUGUGCAAACCCCAGCUGUACCACUCACGCGGCCUCUCUGGGCCGCUGUUUCUCAGCUGUGACCGAGGGUAUAAUGGCCCCAACCCCGCCCUGGAUGUGAGGGUGAGAUGAGGAAAUGUG